CCUGAAAUUGCUUUGGAUAAAGUCCUUAGAGUUGAUUUGGAAUGAGAAGAACUGGGUUUGAAACUUUAUGCAAUAAUUUUACAGCUAAGUAACACUGGAUAAAUCUUGAAAGGCACCAAGAAGGACUCAUCAAAUAUCACCUGCGUGAGACAGUCUUGAGAGCAUAACCCAUGAAUAUAAUCCAUCUGAGACAGCACUUAACUCCAGCGCGACGGAACAAGUGAGCCUAAAAAAAAGUGUCCACCACCACCCGCUUUUGUCAGGGCAGAAGUCAGACACUGAAGAGAACAGCACACAGAAGAAGCUGAAACAGAGGGAACCGCCUUGGAAGUGACAGGUGCAAUAGAUUAAAACCCUGUCGUUAGUACUGACUACAUAGGAAGGGGCCUAUAGAUCUUGAGAAAUAUAAGCCGGACCAAGGAACUAUCCGAAAAUGAACUGACCCCACACUGCCCGCAAUAUCAGAG
ensembl:lncRNA